GUCUUUUCUGUCUGUCCGUAGCCCAUUCCACCAUUCUGCGGAGUGUCUUUUCUGUCUGUCCGUAGCCCAUUCCACCAUUCUGCUGAGUGUCUUUUCUGUCUGUCCGUAGCCCAUUCCACCAUUCUGCGGAGUGUCUUUGUAGUCAGGCUUUUCUGCAGUGUCAUUCUCUCAAGGUGUUUGUGCUUCAGUCCUCUUCUCUUCCACAGCUCUUCACUUCAAGCCUAAUUAGCUUUCCCCUCUUGAGGUAGAUAAUCGCUUGCGACAGCUUCCCCAAUCACUCUCCAUCUAGUAUCCUGAACCAGAGCAAAUAACAGGUCAACUUUGCAGCCAUGGAGACCUUCCUGUCUUGUCACCACCCCCCUUCUCUCCUACUCUUAACUGAUUGGCUCUUUGAUAGCAUCAGACGUGUUUUAAAAAUGUCCUCUCUGUAUAAACAAUGUUGUGCAGUAUUUUAUUUAUUUUGUCAUCUAUAUAUAUAUAUAUAUCGGAUCUAUUUUUACACCUGUUUGAUUUUCAUGGAUGUGUGUGUGUGUGUGAGGACAGAGUUUGGGAAGCGCUGGUUUAGGGUAGACCAACAAAGUGAGACUAAGAUUUGGGGUUAGAGGUUAGGAGUUGACCCAAUCACAAAUGUCUUUAUUUAUUUGGAUGAUUGAUUUAUUUUUGUUUCAGAUCUGUUAUUGAUGUCAUUGCUCUAGAUCUCUGUGAUCUCUUUUGUCGGUUUUUAAGACAAAGUGAGAGCAGACGUCGUAGAAUGUGUUCCCAUUUAAAAUGCUAUGUGUAACCUAACAUGGGCAUGGAAUGGCCUUAUUGUGAAGUCCUCUCCCACUCUCCCCCCAUUGGUAAUAUUAUGAUGUCCGUAUCACCACCCCCCAAUCCCAUGUGUUUCAACAGUGUCAGUUCCUCCAGUGUUAGUUUGGGUUUUUGCGUCAUCCAAAAACAUGAGAUGAAAUUAAUUUAUAUAUUUUUAGAUAGAAAAACCUGUACAAUAAAGUGGACUUUAACCUAAAAAGGGUCCAAUUUACUAAAUUCAUUUCAAGAGCGGAUAAGUUGACAGCUGCACCCACUGCCUUAACCCCCAGAUUCUGCUUUCAUAUUUCCAAACAGAGAAUUAAACGGCUUUUCAAGGAAGAUGAAACGUUGUACAGUAGACCAAUGUGUUGUAGAAAGUACUAGGUGAAAACAGAAUAUUUAUUACUUGCGUUGGAAGAAAUUGUUUACUUAUUGAAUGUUGUCUGUCUAAUG
rnacentral:lncRNA from 1 species